rnacentral:lncRNA from 10 species
UCUAAAUAAAGGUAUCUCCCUGCACAAACAGUCCGUUUUAAGUGCAAUGAACCUUGCAAAAUCCUCCCAGAACCCAAAUCUAAUGUAGAGUUGAAAAGCCGACGGUAAAAACUGGGAUCAAAAGUUUCAUCUGGGAAUAAGUUUUUACUAAUUUCUCUGCUGUCCUCUGCCAGCAACAAUGUCAAGCGCUGUCUUUAUUAUAAUACAUUUCCUAGAAUCUAUAAGAAGUCUGCUCUACCUUGCAGGUUUGGCCGCCCGUCCCAAGCGCUGGACACCAAAACUAUGGAGAUGGAACAAAAUUUGGCGUUUCGGAAAUAAAGGUUCUGUUGAACAUCUGCAGGCGUUCCCACAUGGCGGUGUGGAGGAGAAUACGGGAUCAGAACUUGAUUUAUCUACAGCUGAGUAUGACAACCGUCCUGUUGAAGAGCUGCAGGAGCCUGCCCAUGGCAGCGUGGAGGAUAUGAAAUCAGAACUUGUAAGACGUAUUUCUUUCUCUGGAAGAGAAAUGUUUUUUUGUUUUGGUUUUUGUUUUUUCUGUGGCUUCUAG